rnacentral:rRNA from 1 species
AUGGCCAUGAAGCAUGCUAAAUAUCAGUUCUUAUUUUCUUCUUCUGCUACCGUGCUACACCUAAGGAGGAGAGAACUGAAGCUACUUUCAUCGCCAUCUUUCCUGUCCAACACUAGUUCUGCUCCUAUCUCUUCUUUACAGCAAGGUCAUCUCCGAUUAGUCCCAUCUGCAGGACCCACAGAACAAGUAGUAUUAACUCCUAAUGGCACCAGCAGUAAUGGAAACAGAAACAAGGGAAGGAGGAGAAGCAGGAGAAAGAGGAAGGAGACAGCAAAAGAAGAAAAGGAAUGUGUACCAUCUGCAGAAGAAGUGUCCAUCAGAAUAGCUGAGGCCUAUGAAAGUGGUGACCCCCUUGGGCGGAAGGAGCUGGGCCGGUGUGUGAUGCAAUGGCUAAAGCUGGGCAUGUGCUCAAUGGCCUUCACAUUUGCUUCCACGGAAGUGCAGAACGAUGGAGCAGCAUUCUCAUUGGAUGGGGGAUCAUCUGAAGGCAACCUGGAGUUUAUGAUUCUGGCACAGCCUUACCUCGCUGCCAUCCCCAUGCCCCAGGGACAUGAAGCUCUCUGCCUCAAAGCCUCCACCCACUACCCCACCCUCUUUGACCACUUCCAACGUGAGCUCCGUGAGGUCUUGUUGAAACACCAGAACCAGGGCCUUAUUACUGAUUGGCGUUCCACAGAAUCCUGGAUACUUCUGAAAAAAUUAGCUAAGUCUACCCAGCAUCGGCAAGGUGCCCGCAAACCUAAAGCUCCUGCGAUGCACAGCCUCCUUGGUAUAAGCCUCGACAAGACAAGGCUGAUGCAGACCAAAAUUGAAGACUUUGUCAAGAAAAUGUCAGACCUUCUAGACAUCGAGCGAGAUGCAGAGCUGGAAUUCACCCAGGAAGAGUUGAAUGCCACCCCAACAACGGAUAGUGCAGCAAAGCAGCCACUGAAGCCAGUCGCGUAUUUGGUGAGUCAUGGUCAGGCGGAACAAGAGCAGUGUGACACCGUUUGCAAUUUGAAUGUUGUCAGUACCUCAACUGGCUUGGGAGGCCUACGUUUGGUUCUGUUUAGAUUGGAAGGCACCCAUAAACUGCCUCCAUCAACACUGUCCCCUGGGGACAUGGUUUGUGUGAGGACAUGCAAUAACCAGGGCGAGGUUGGCACUUAUUGCGUGCAAGGCUUUAUACAUAAUCUUGGUGAGGAUGGCUGCAGUAUUACUGUUUCUUUGAAAUCCCGGCCUGGUGAUCCUACCUUCUCCAAGUUUUCUGGGAAAAGUGUGCGGAUCGACAGGAUACAGGCAUUGGCUGAUGGACUUACAUACGAGCGCAAUUGUGAAGCACUGAUACUUCUGCAGAGGAAAGGUUUGCAGAAAACAAAUGCUUCCAUUGGGGUAGUAGCCACUCUGUUUGGGGACAAGGAAGACAUGACGAUGCUGGAGCAGAAUAAUCUGACUGAUUGGGGUGAAUCAGCAAUACAGGACAAUGGUUUACUGGGGAAGAAUAAGUAUGACUUUGAUGCCUCGCAGUCGCAGGCUAUUACACUAGGCUUGAACAAGAAAAGGCCUGUCCUAGUUAUCCAAGGGCCACCUGGUACAGGCAAGACUGGUUUGCUUAGUUAUCUCAUUAAGUGUGCUGUCCGACAGGGUGAACGUGUUCUUGUAACAGCUCCAAGCAAUGCAGCAGUUGAUAACAUGGUGGAGAAAUUGUCAGGUACUGGGCUUAACAUUGUACGAGUUGGAAAUCCUGCCAGGAUAUCUCCAUCCGUUUCAUCAAGGUCCUUGGGAGAGCUUGUGAAGAGGAGGCUUGAAAAGUUCACACAAGAGUUUCAGAGGAAAAAAUCUAACUUAAGAAAGGACCUAAAGCAUUGUAUACAGGAUGAUUCUUUAGCUGCAGGAAUACGACAACUACUGAAAAAACUUGGGAAGAACUUCAGAAAGAAGGAGAAUGAAAUAAUCAAGGAGGUACUUUCAAAUGCUGAUGUUGUCCUAUCAACUAAUAUAGGGGCAGCUGAUCCGCUUAUCAAGGAAAUUGGUUUUUUUGACCUCGUCAUUAUAGAUGAAGCUGGACAAGCAAUUGAACCCUCAUGCUGGAUCCCUAUACUACGGGGAAAGCGUUGCAUUCUUGCUGGAGAUCAACACCAGCUUGCACCUGUAAUAUUAUCAAGGGAGGCCAUGCAAGGUGGCCUAGGGAUGUCUUUAUUGGAGAGGGCUUCAUCAUUGCAUGAUGAACUACUGACUACGAAAUUAACAAUGCAAUACAGAAUGCACGAGUCAAUAGCCAAUUGGGCAUCGAACGAGAUGUAUUUUGGGUUGCUCAAAUCGUCACCAUCCGUUGCUUCUUGCCUUCUUGUCGAUUAUCCAUCUAUCCAGGAAACUUGGAUAACUCGGUGUGCCUUGCUUUUACUUGACACCCGAAUGCCAUAUGGAAGUCUAAAUAUUGACUGCGAGGAGCAUUUAGACCUUGCUGGAACAGGCUCAUUUUAUAACAGCGGCGAGGCAGAUAUAGUUGCACAACAUGUAGUCAAUCUUGUACUAUGUGGAGUCUCUCCAACUUCCAUUGCUGUUCAGUCGCCUUACAUUGCUCAGGUACAACUUUUAAGAGAUAGACUAGAAGAAUAUCCAGAGGCUUUGGGUGUUGAGGUGUCAACCAUAGAUAGCUUCCAGGGGCGGGAGGCAGAUGCUGUGGUCAUAUCAAUGGUUCGGUCGAACUCCUUGGGAGCGGUAGGGUUCCUUGGCGACAACAGGCGCAUGAACGUGGCCAUUACCAGGGCACGGAGGCAUGUCACACUUGUGUGCGAUAGCUCUACGAUUUGCAACAAUGAGUUCCUGGCCAGGCUCCUUCGCCACAUCCGUCAGCAUGGCCAAGUAAGGCAUGUUGAACCCGGUUCCUACGGUGGUGAUUAUGGCCUUGGCUUCAGCCCACCUGCCUUGCCCUCCAUCAGUUAG